AUGGCCCCGCGGUGCAUUAGCUAGUUGGUAAGGUAACGGCCUACCAAGGCAACGAUGCAUAGCCGAGUUGAGAGACUGAUCGGCCACAUUGGGACUGAGACACGGCCCAAACUCCUACGGGAGGCAGCAGUAGGGAAUCUUCCACAAUGGACGCAAGUCUGAUGGAGCAACGCCGCGUGAGUGAAGAAGGUUUUCGGAUCGUAAAGCUCUGUUGUUGGUGAAGAAGGAUAGAGGUAGUAACUGGCCUUUAUUUGACGGUAAUCAACCAGAAAGUCACGGCCAACUACGUGCCAGCAGCCGCGGUAAUACGUAGGUGGCAAGCGUUGUCCGGAUUUAUUGGGCGUAAAGCGAGCGCAGGCGGAAAAAUAAGUCUAAUGUGAAAGCCCUCGGCUUAACCGAGGAAUUGCAUCGGAAACUGUUUUUCUUGAGUGCAGAAGAGGAGAGUGGAACUCCAUGUGUAGCGGUGGAAUGCGUAGAUAUAUGGAAGAACACCAGUGGCGAAGGCGGCUCUCUGGUCUGCAACUGACGCUGAGGCUCGAAAGCAUGGGUAGCGAACAGGAUUAGAUACCCUGGUAGUCCAUGCCGUAAACGAUGAGUGCUAAGUGUUGGGAGGUUUCCGCCUCUCAGUGCUGCAGUUAACGCAUUAAGCACUCCGCCUGGGGAGUACGACCGCAAGGUUGAAACUCAAAGGAAUUGACGGGGGCCCGCACAAGCGGUGGAGCAUGUGGUUUAAUUCGAAGCAACGCGAAGAACCUUACCAGGUCUUGACAUCUAGUGCAAUCUGUAGAGAUACGGAGUUCCCUUCGGGGACGCUAAGACAGGUGGUGCAUGGCUGUCGUCAGCUCGUGUCGUGAGAUGUUGGGUUAAGUCCCGCAACGAGCGCAACCCUUGUUAUUAGUUGCCAGCAUUAAGUUGGGCACUCUAAUGUGACUGCCGGUGACAAACCGGAGGAAGGUGGGGAUGACGUCAAGUCAUCAUGCCCCUUAUGACCUGGGCUACACACGUGCUACAAUGGGCAGUACAACGAGAAGCGAGCCUGCGAAGGCAAGCGAAUCUCUGAAAGCUGUUCUCAGUUCGGACUGCAGUCUGCAACUCGACUGCACGAAGCUGGAAUCGCUAGUAAUCGCGGAUCAGCACGCCGCGGUGAAUACGUUCCCGGGCC
rnacentral:rRNA from 1 species